GGGGCUGUAGCUCAGUUGGAAGAGCGCCUGCUUUGCAAGCAGGAUGUCGUCGGUUCGAUCCCGUCCAGCUCCACCA
rnacentral:tRNA from 1 species